CUGGAACUUACUACUGUCCUGUGGCUGCUUGUGGAAGGAUCAUUGUUGGAAAUGGAGCAUCAGUAGAACUGAGUCAUCAGCCUGUUCUAGUUGUUACCCUGGGAGUGGCGCUGGUCUUGUUCUUAAUCUGGAAUAUCACUCUAAUCUACUGGAGCUGGAGGAGAGAGAGCCGCAGUGGAGAAUAAUUUCGAGGGCUACUAUUUCAAUCUUUUAUAUUUGAAGAUGAAGAAAAAGGGACACAAGGAGAACAUUUUCACCCCAAGUGAGGUCCUUCCCUGCUACAGACCAAUUCAGAAAGACAACAUUGCUGAGAAAACAGGAAAAAUAAUAAGAAAAUGAGAAAAAAAUGUCCUACUGAAUUAAAGGUGCUGAUGUGAAGUGUCAGUGUUCUCUGGAUAUUUUUAAUAGCAUGAAGAGGGUGUUAAAUGUACCAAUUGAUGUUAAAUCUAAAGCAGAUAAAAUAUGUCAUUCUUAGAUCCUUUAUAUUAUAAGCUAAUAAUUUAAUGUUGCAUAAUUAUUUGGUAUCCAGUGAUGAUUCUUAACAUUUGUGGACUGCUGUUUUCCUCUGAGCUGUAAAGUUGUAGGCUUCCUAUAAACAGCACUUUCUGAGGUUCCUCUGUGUUCUGUGCAUCAUGCUUUAACAGUCAUGA